rnacentral:piRNA from 1 species
UGGAAAAGCCUUCUAUUAGUGUUCAACCC